GACGUAGGGCGCGAGCGUUGUCCGGAUUUAUUGGGCGUAAAGAGCUCGUAGGCGGCUCAUUGCGUCAACCGUGAAAACCAGCAGCUCAACUGUUGGCUUGCGGUUGAUACGGGUGGGCUGGAGUUCGGUAGGGGAGACUGGAAUUCCUGGUGUAGCGGUGGAAUGCGCAGAUAUCAGGAGGAACACCGGUGGCGAAGGCGGGUCUCUGGGCAGUAACUGACGCUGAGGAGCGAAAGCGUGGGGAGCGAACAGG
rnacentral:rRNA from 1 species